CAGUAGCCACGGGAAUACAGAGGGUGCGAGCGUUAAUCGGAAUUACUGGGCGUAAAGCGCACGUAGGCGGCUUGGUAAGUUAGAGGUGAAAGCCCGGAGCUCAACUCCGGAAUUGCCUUUAAGACUGCCGGGCUAGCAGGUGAGAGAGGUAAGUGGAAUUCCGAGUGUAGAGGUGAAAUUCGUAGAUAUUCGGAAGAACACCAGUGGCGAAGGCGGCUUACUGGCUCAUACUGGACGCUGAGGUGCGAAAGCGUGGGGAGCAAACAGGAUUAGAGACCCCAGUAGUCCCUGUCUCUUAUAC
rnacentral:rRNA from 1 species